rnacentral:sRNA from 1 species
GCCAGGCACGGUGGCGCACACCUGUCAUCCCAGCAGCUCAGGAGGCUGAGGCAGGAGGAUAGCAAGUUCAAAGCCAGCCUCUGCUUAGCGAGGUCCUAGCAACUUAGCUAGACCCUGUCUCAA